GGGGUCCUAAAGCCGGUAGCUUGUUGUGAACACCACUGGUUCUAGGGCUGUGUAGCAGAGUCACGAGUGCUGCGUGAAAGCAACAGGAGGGCGAGCCGCUGUAUGUUGAUGUGCAUGUGGGAGAAUGACGCCGUGUUGUUGUGCGUAACAAGUGUCUGCUGGGCACUCUUACCGUAGCAGUGAGGGGAGUUGUUCUCAGGAAGCCAUCAGCUACAGUGUUCGUAGCCUUGUUGAAAAGAGCAUUUGCAUCACCGGUGUUAUUUUGAGGGCUGUGAUUGGCAGAGAGAGGAAGCUGAUAUCCCAGCCCUAAAUUUGAGCUAAUACAUGAAUAGAUGGCACAUGACAUCCUCCCUCCCCCCCCCUCACUGAGCUGAUGCCAUCGCUCUGGGCUGCUAGCGUCCUGUGAGUUUCAUCUUAAAUUAGUUUUGAAACUGAGCUGCCAGACAGUAAUGAAGUGCCUCCAUUGUUAUCCUUCUCUUCGCUCCCUCCUGCAUGGCGGUGGGGCAGGCUAGUUCUAGUUCCUGUGACAGAGUGUUCUAGCGGCCAUGCAGUCCUCUUCUGGAGCUCUGGAGCUCUGGCGCUGCAAGGUGUCGAUCAAAUAAAUUGUGUUGCAAGUGCAUUGAUCUGCUUUGUUCCUUAGUAACAGGGUGUGGG
ensembl:lncRNA